UAGUGGUAGCUGGCAUACUUUGGCACUGGUAGGGUGGAAGGCCUGGAGACCAACAGUAGGAGGAGCCAGGGCUACAGAGAGAGAGAACCAACUAAUUCUAGUUUUGUCCCUAUCUUCUCCCUGCUGAGGUCUGCAACAGCAAUUUUAAGGAGUAGGAGGAAGCUGACAACUAUGGCCACCUUCUGGAUUAGUUGCAAGAAAAAUGGCGCUCAUCUUUCUGCAGUUUGCAAAAUGAAGAUGGGGGGGGGGACCCAGGACUCACCACUAGAACAAGAAGAAAUAUGUGAUGUUAACAGUUCACUGAGCUGUGAUAUGAACAAGCUGGGUGUUGAAAAAGAAAUCUGAGCUUAAGAGUACAUUUCCAGUGUUAAUAAAGAUUCCUUCUUUUGUUGUAUAUUUCCAAACA